CAGUAGCCGCGGUAAUACGGAGGGGGCUAGCGUUGUUCGGAAUUACUGGGCGUAAAGCGCACGUAGGCGGCUUGGUAAGUUAGAGGUGAAAGCCUGGAGCUCAACUCCAGAAUUGCCUUUAAGACUGCCGAGCUAGCAGGUGAGAGAGGUAAGUGGAAUUCCGAGUGUAGAGGUGAAAUUCGUAGAGAUCGGAAGGAACAUCUGUGGCGAAGGCGACUAUCUGGGCCAACACUGACACUGAGGCACGAAAGCGUGUGGAGCAAACAGGAUUAGAUACCCCCGUAGUCCCUGUCUCUUAUAC
rnacentral:rRNA from 1 species